UACGGAGGGUGCAAGCGUUAUCCGGAUUCACUGGGUUUAAAGGGUGCGUAGGCGGGCAGGUAAGUCCGUGGUGAAAUCUCUGAGCUUAACUCAGAAACUGCCAUGGAUACUAUUUGUCUUGAAUAUUGUGGAGGUAAGCGGAAUAUGUCAUGUAGCGGUGAAAUGCUUAGAUAUGACAUAGAACACCAAUUGCGAAGGCAGCUUACUACACAGUUAUUGACGCUGAGGCACGAAAGCGUGGGGAU
rnacentral:rRNA from 1 species